rnacentral:lncRNA from 1 species
AUGAAAAGCACGAUGUUUCCAUAUGAACCUAGCCAAAUUGAACUACCUCCAAGAGAAUGGCAAAAAUUAAUUAAAGAAAGAAUACAUGAACUAAAAAAGCAAAAACGUGCAAAUAAAGAGAUACACAUACGCAAGGAUAAACUGGAAAAGGGAAAAGACCGGAAAACAACAAUAUACUCCGAAGUUGACAAAAUAAAACGAGAUAAGGGAGAAAUGGCCAGGGUAGGAAGUCAUAAAUAUUAAAAAAAGGGUUAUCUAAUGUAAUAAAAUAAUUUAUACUAUUAUUGAAAUACUGUGU